CAAAGCCAGAAUAUACAAUUGCACCAAAAAUCCUCCAACUUAAUAGUAAUCUGUCAAUAUGAUUCUGUAACUUUUAUCAUAACUUUAACCCUAUCAUACAGUUGCUCACAAACGUUUGUGUACAGCAAGCACUUGUAAAGUUAUGAUCUACCAAUAUAUUUCUUUGCUAUAUUAACAAACUAAAGGUGUGCCAAUGUACACCAUGAUCAAGAUCAAAUUCAAAAAUUUUAUAAGGCCAAUGAUCUUGAAAAGAAUUCCCAAUCCUGAAACUAAAACCGCAGUGAAUCCAUCUACAUAACUGACAGAUCACUGAUAUAGUCAUCCCACAUAUUACUCGCAAUAGAGUCACGCAAUUGUGAACUAAACUCGAGUUGUUAAUGUCCACAGCCUCCUUCUCAACUUGCAUCAUUGACUGUUCCACAUCUAAUGGGGGCAAUGAUUCUUCAAUUUCUAUCAUGUUAUCCGGUUCAUACAUUCCAAAAAUCAAAUCAUCUGGUUUCUCCCCACGGAUAAAAUUGUGUAUUGCACAUGCCGCUACAACCAACUUAACCUGUGUUUGUAAAGGGUAUGGGGGAGCUGACAUCAAUAUAGGGAAGCGUGCUUUCAGAGCACCAAAGAUACGAUCAGUGGCAUUUCUCAACAAUGAGUGCCUUUGAUUGAAUAGUUCUCUAGGAUCUUGAGGAUGAUAACCAAUGGGAUAUUCAUUUGUGUGAUAAGGGAUCCCAUCGUAUGGGGCUAUGUAGCCUGGCAUAUUUGCAUAUUUGUUAUCCACAAGAUAGUACUUACCUUCAGGGACCUGCAACU
rnacentral:misc_RNA from 1 species